rnacentral:lncRNA from 1 species
GACUAGUUCAUAAUUCUCAAGUAGAUUGUAAGCCCUUGAAGUUCAAAAAGGUGGAGAAAAGAGAAAUUGAACAAUAAAUCAUCAUAAUAAAAGCUACCUUUAGUUAAGUGCUUAUCAUGAGCUAGCCUCUGAACUAAUUGCUCUAUAUACAUUCUCUCGUUUAAUCCUUAUGGAAACUGAUUUUUUUAUCAUCCUUCUUAAAUCACAGUUGUUAUUAUUGUUUUUUUUAAUAGCCUUAGCUCUCAUACACAAUGUUGUGGGAACUCUAUGUCCUCCCAAGAUUCCAAGGACUCCCGGGGAAUGAAUUGGCAGUUUCAUGAUCAUUUUUCCUUAUGGAUUCCUGCUCCAGCUGCAUGCAAGCUUUUUUACCUUCCUCCUGACAAUGCUGUCCCCUCAUCCCCUCACUUUCACAAAUGGCAGGCUAAGCCCUUCUUUUCUUCUUUCCCUAAAGGCUCCUUGGGACACAGGGCCAUUUUACCUAGAAGACUUAUUGAAAGGUGGGGCCAUCACAGGAUAGCAGACGGCACAGGAAAUCACUAAUGUGCUCAGCACCCUCCUUCUGGACUGUUCUACUCUGAGCCCUUCCUGCAACCACAUUUCCCUUUCCCUAAGAAUCUUCUCCCGGUCUUUGUCUCCGCUGAAAACCUCAUAUUUGUUACUUUGUUAUGCAAAGAAAUUUCGCUUUUUUGAAUAAACGCUUCCAUUCAAGGAUAUUCUCAAUCUCGGGUCAGAGAAGGAACCAAGAGAAUAGAAGCUCAGUAACUUUUUAAAACUAAAAAUGUUUAACAAGAAGUAUUUUCCUUGACCAAUAAGCAAAGCACCAUCUGUGAUGAAUCCUGCCCCACCCUAGAAUGAAGACAUAUGGCAGUUGUUUUUUUCAUAACAACAUUUGUUUUUCUUCCUGUUAUACUUGUAGAAAUGGUAUGACGUAUUUAUUAUAAUACCCAUUUUUUUUCCAGCGGAGGAAACUGAGGAUGAAAAAACUUUUUUUUUUUUUUAAGUUACUUGCUCUAAGUUCCACAGCUAAUGUCAGAGUUGAAUUCCAAAUGCAGACCUGAUUCCAAAGCCAGAGAGAUUGACCACGACACCAUGUGGCCAUUUAAUGCAGCUCAAGCGGAUCUUGAAGUGGUUCCAUUCACAGGUGAUUCUUACUCAGGAAAUCUUUCUGUUGGGGGAGGUCUUGCAGGUCAGAGGAAGGUGAAUUGAUUGAUUGAAGGCCAAAGACAUUAAAACCAAGUAAGAGCUAGGAAUAACUACCUAUGUAUAGCUUCACAUCUGAGACCCAAGGGGAGUUGUCGCUAUUAAUCACUGCUGAAUGAUUGCUCUGAUUGCUUCAUUUGUUGGUGCUGCAGUUGCUGAAUUUUACUGCGCUGUAUUUGACCUUGGGGAGGGGUUCACUUUGGGGGAAGAUAAGUAGAGUGGAGGAGGACAGAAACCAGAUUAUAGUAGACUGAAGAGCAAGUAAUAACCAAAGUUAUAAUUUUCCCAUUAUCACACUUUAUUAUGGGGAGAAACCCUUCCAAUAAGUAUCAUGAUUUCUAUUUUAGGGAUGAGAAAGCCCAAGUCACUUUACUUAUGUGUGGCAAAAAUCCCUCUGAUCUCUCCACCAGUGACAUAUUAAGGAAUGUUUUCCAACUCUUUCUGGGAAGAGUUCUCAUAAAUUCUGUUUCUGCAACUUUAAUCCAUUUCCAGUGAUGUUCUUGCCUCCCUUACAACCUUGGUUCCCCAACCAGCUUCCCAGCUGGGAUACAUUUUCAUCUGGGUCUGCCUGACCCACCAUUCCUGCCUCAGGUAAGUCUUGCACAAGAGAACUAUGAAUCCAAGCUAGCCAUUCUUUCAUUCAUUCCACAGCUAGUUAUUGAGCUCUCUGUGAGAGCCUCUGCUACCUGGCCAACCCUUUUAGAUAUCCUGAGCAACCAGCUUGAAGUGGAGGUUUUAAAGAUGCAGCCAACACUCCAAAGCAAGAGAAAGCUUGUCUUAUCUUCCCAAAGAGAGAGCCUCUGCUCCAUUGCCAGGUAGGAAACCAUAAAACACUCUUGGCUGCUAUUC